rnacentral:rRNA from 1 species
GACGAACGCUGGCGGCGUGCUUAACACAUGCAAGUCGAACGGAAAGGCCCUGCUUUUGUGGGGUGCUCGAGUGGCGAACGGGUGAGUAACACGUGAGUAACCUGCCCUUGACUUUGGGAUAACUUCAGGAAACUGGGGCUAAUACCGGAUAGGAGCUCCUGCUGCAUGGUGGGGGUUGGAAAGUUUCGGCGGUUGGGGAUGGACUGGCGGCUUAUCAGCUUGUUGGUGGGGUAGUGGCUGACCAAGGCUUUGACGGGUAGCCGGCCUGAGAGGGUGACCGGCCACAUUGGGACUGCGGUACGGCGCAGACUCCUACGGGAGGCAGCAGUGGGGAAUAUUGCACAAUGGGCGGAGGCCUGAUGCAGCAACGCCGCGUGCGGGAGGACGGCCUUCGGGUUGUAAACCGCUUUCGCCUGUGACGAAGCGUGAGUGACGGUAAUGGGUAAAGAAGCACCGGCUAACUCCGUG